GAACACAGGUGUUGCCUUCAGUGAUGUUUGUCACAGAUUUGCAUACAAUGAAUAGCACACCAUGUCCCUCUUUCUUCUAAGUUUAGGGGAUGGCAGCAGCCGUCUAAACCUCUUUGAAGAAAAAGAUGACACGGAGUUUUCUUGCUGACCUGCAGCUAAGGUGUACUCUUGAGGUGUGCCUGCUUUUCAAUUUGCCUACCUAUAUAAAUUCCAAACGUGGCAGCUUCAUGCAGUUAUUUCAUUUCAGAGGUCCCCUCCAAGCGUCUCAUCCUGACCUCGUAUGGCUGCGUGGCACGCAGUAAAUCAGUACAGAAAUCCAUCUCUGAAUCUCUUCUUUUUCACUUUUCUUUUCAAAUUCUGCUUUUCCUUUCAAACGAGGCCAGCUCCUCAAGCCAUUAGGCUGAAUUGCAUCAGCUGUGGCUCUGGCUUAGGGAAAUUAAAGGUGAACACCUGUGCCAGCUCAGCAUCACCACAGUGCAUGAGCACGUAGAAGAAGCUAAGUCACUGGAGAGUAAACAAGGCUGGAGCCUUAGUGGUGCUGGUGGAUCACGUGCAUGCUAUGUACCAGGAGCUGCCCUCGGGCCACUGCGACGCAGCCCCACUCCACGCGUGGCCCCGGAGAAGUGAAACAAACGAGGCCAACAAAGCCAAACAAACAAAUAAAACCAAUCCAAACAACAACAGCAGCGGCACCAAAGAGGAGAGGUGAGACGGUGGAGGGACGGGGACGCCCCGGGGUCCCGCCGGCCUUUCCCACGUGCUGGGGACGGAGCGAACAGCCCCAAAUUGCUCUCCCGUCUCAGCAGCACAGCACAGCGGGCACGGAACGGCCCUUCGGAGUGGCAUAGCCCGGUAACGACCCUCCCCGCGGCCGCCUCUCCUCGCGAACCUCGCCGGAGCGAUGGGGUAUUUGGUUCAUUUUAGUUGCUUGUUUUGCAUUUCUUAUUGUCGGAGCCAAAAGCGCAGCGGCUCCCGCAGCGGAGCCGGGUGCUCGGAGGGGCCGGGAGGUGAUUGGCAGCGGGGGCGAGAAGGGAGAGGGGCCGGGGGUCGCCUGUAUUUGUUACUUGUUGAAAUUCCCAUAAAAUUGAACAAGACCCCGCUCUCCUAGGGGUUAAGUCAGGC
rnacentral:lncRNA from 1 species